AACCCCAGCUCCAGGGGCUCAGCAGGCAAAGGGAAUCACUGGGUGGGGGCACCACCCGUAGACUCCAAUAUCUCACCUCUCCCUCCACAGGUUGUAGGUGAGAGGAACAACCCCCACCAAACCCAGAGCCGAAAACUGAGGGAGUUUUACAGACAGGACGGAGCUCCUGCACCUCGGAGCCUCAGUUGGGAAUGACCUGGGGUCUUGUCCUGAAGCUGAGUCUGGUGAACGUGCCCCAUUUGUAGCAUGAGGGGUACUUCUCUGGAGGGACUGUAUGUUGACAGUGGCAGAGUGGAGCCCUGAAGUCCACCUGAGUGAAUAUACCAGGGCUUGAGAA
rnacentral:antisense_RNA from 1 species